GUACGGGGGGGCAAGCGUUGUUCGGAAUUACUGGGCGUAAAGGGCUCGUAGGCGGCCAACUAAGUCAGACGUGAAAUCCCUCGGCUUAACCGGGGAACUGCGUCUGAUACUGGAUGGCUUGAGAUUGGGAGAGGGAUGCGGAAUUCCAGGUGUAGCGGUGAAAUGCGUAGAUAUCAGGAGGAACACCGAUGGCGAAGGCAGGUCUCUGGGCAUUAACUGACGCUGAGGAGCGAAAGCAUGGGGAGCGAUCCGG
rnacentral:rRNA from 1 species